GACGAACGCUGGCGGCGUGCUUAACACAUGCCAGUCGUACGGUAAGGCCCUUUCGGGGGUACACGAGUGGCGCACGGGUGAGUAACACGUGAGUAACCUGCCCACAACUUUGGGAUAACGCUAGGAAACUGGUGCUAAUACUGGAUAUGUGCUCCUGCUGCAUGGUGGGGGUUGGAAAGCUCCGGCGGUUGUGGAUGGACUCGCGGCCUAUCAGUUUGUUGGUGGGGUAGUGGCCUACCAAGGCGGCGACGGGUAGCCGGCCUGAGAGGGUGACCGGCCACAUUGGGACUGAGAUACGGCCCAGACGCCUACGGGAGGCAGCAGUGGGGAAUAUUGCACAAUGGGCGCAAGCCUGAUGCAGCAACGCCGCGUGCGGGAUGACGGCCUUCGGGUUGUAAACCGCUUUCAGCAGGGACGAAGCUUUUUGUGACGGUACCUGCAGAAGAAGCACCGGCUAACUACGUG
rnacentral:rRNA from 1 species